CUGCCCUUUGUACACACCGCCCGUCGCUACUACCGAUUGAAUGGCUCAGUGAGGCGUCCGGACUGGCCCAGAGAGGUGGGCAACUACCACUCAGGGCCGGAAAGCUCUCCAAACUCGGUCAUUUAGAGGAAGUAAAAGUCGUAACAAGGUCUCCGUUGGUGAACCAGCGGAGGGAUCAUUACCGAGUUUACAACUCCCAAACCCCUGUGAACAUACCAAUUGUUGCCUCGGCGGAUCAGCCCGCUCCCGGUAAAACGGGACGGCCCGCCAGAGGACCCCUAAACUCUGUUUCUAUAUGUAACUUCUGAGUAAAACCAUAAAUAAAUCAAAACUUUCAACAACGGAUCUCUUGGUUCUGGCAUCGAUGAAGAACGCAGCAAAAUGCGAUAAGUAAUGUGAAUUGCAGAAUUCAGUGAAUCAUCGAAUCUUUGAACGCACAUUGCGCCCGCCAGUAUUCUGGCGGGCAUGCCUGUUCGAGCGUCAUUUCAACCCUCAAGCCCUCGGGUUUGGUGUUGGGGAUCGGCGAGCCCUUGCGGCAAGCCGGCCCCGAAAUCUAGUGGCGGUCUCGCUGCAGCUUCCAUUGCGUAGUAGUAAAACCCUCGCAACUGGUACGCGGCGCGGCCAAGCCGUUAAACCCCCAACUUCUGAAUGUUGACCUCGGAUCAGGUAGGAAUACCCGCUGAACUUAAGCAUAUCAAUAAGCGGAGGAA
rnacentral:rRNA from 1 species